AAAACAUGUUUGUACAGUAUCAAAUAUUAUUUUAAUGCGUUCAUAUUGAUUACGGAAAUCCGAUAUUUAUUCUGUGACAUUUUGGAAUUACAUGUAUCAUUUCCAUUUAACUAAUUAUAGUGGAGAACUAAGCUGUAAAGAUAUCCCAAGAAAUGAAUUCAAGACUUCUAGUUUUGCUGCUGGUUUCCAUUGUAAUCAUUGGAACGGCUGACAGCUCGUUUUUGGGAGUGGGAACAUGGAGACUUGAGGGCUGUAAAUACGUAUGUCGUGAUGUCUGCCAUAAAGUAUGUCCUGGUGGAAAUAUGAAUAGAUGCGAAAACAGAUGUAAGAAAGAAUGCAAGAAAGAGUGCUUACCGCCAUAAAUGGUUCAUGUACAGAACAGAUGAAAACAAAGUGUCAAAAUAAAAUAGUUUGAAAUAUGUA